UUCAGAAUGGUCACUGGUCACCCAGGGGUUGAUCCUUCCUGGAAGUCUCAGGCACCCAUGCUCCCUUCUCCCUUUCCUCCACAGUGAAUUCCAAGGCGGAAGUCAGGUUCCAUUUGGCAACUGCCGAGUGGAUCGCGGAGCCCGUGCGGCAGAAGAUAGCCAUCAUGCAUAAAAACAAGAUCAACAGGUUAGGAGAGUUGAUCCUCACCUCUGAGAGCAGCCGCUAUCAGUUCCGGAAUCUGGCAGAUUGCCUGCAGAAAAUUCGAGACAUGAUCACUGAGGCCAGCCAGACACCGAAGGAGCCAACAAAAGAAGAUGUUAAACUUCAUAGAAUCAGGAUAGAAAACAUGAAUCGGGAAAGGCUGAGACAAAAGAGAAUUCAUUCUGCUGUAAAGACAAGCAGGAGGGUCGACAUGGACUGAAAUCACCCUCUGCAGCUGGGAGGGCUCUUCUGGGCGUGCGGGCAGCUGCAGCUGAGAGGACUUUCACACCAUAAGGAGAUUUCUGUUUUUCUUUUUGGCUGUUAAUGCUUGUCUAUAACAUUAGAGCCAUCACGAGAAUGUUCAUUUGGAAUGAAGGCUGCAGGCACUGGUUGCAGAAGUCUUUAUAGGCAGUCACCAUGUUGUCAAACCUUAAUAAUGCAUCGAAUGUAUUAGCCACAAUAAAAUUCAAAACUCA
rnacentral:sRNA from 1 species